rnacentral:lncRNA from 1 species
GUAGGGGGGUGGGAAGAGUCUUUGUAUGGUGGGGGAGGAGAGGCGUGUUGAUAAAGCAAUUUCUUUUCUGUUAGAAUGGAUGUGUUCAAGUAAAUAUAUUUCAUUGGCUUUAGGAUUGCUGACAGGCAUGUUUGUAUCUGAUAUCCAAUAAUGCAUUGCUAUAGAAAAAAUGUUUGGAUUUCUCCACCCUCACCCCAUGAAGAUGAUAUUCCUGGGUGUAUAUGACCACAUCCUACUGCAUUUUGAAUAUAUAUCAGCAGAGAAAUUGGGUCUCUUUGAAACAGUGUGCGUUAGAACUGACCUCUAAGAAGAACAGUGUAUCAGAGUACUGCUUGGCUCCAGGCAUGAUGCAUAUACUAGUUCUGGAUAUGUAUAUAUUAAUAUUCUCCUCGUAAGCAAAUCUGCAUAAUGUACACACACUAACUGGUAAAUGAACUAUAAAAAUCAACUUUUGAUAGCAUAUUUAACCCAUAUAAGCAAGAUGGCCAUUAAAAUUAUAAGAUUGGGUAGCCUUUGGGUUUAACUCCCUCUAUGCAGGUCUCUCCCUCCUCCUCCUCCUUAAAAUGCCCACCAGCUUAUAAGAGUCUUGAGUGAUGUGGCCAGAUAUCCAGUAGGAAUAUUGGAUGUAUAUAAUUCUGGUGAAACCAGAAGAAAUGAUGUCAACUUUUAUGAAACUAUAUUCAUUACCCAGAACUCGAGAAGCUAUAUUUGAAACAUGGUUUUAUUUUUAAACCAGGAAUGUCAGUCAUUGUGGUAAUGUGCUCAGGAUCAGGGAGUGAUGGUGGGUUACCUAUUUCUGGGCUGAUUAAUAAAAAUGGAGUGUCAAAUGAUAGCAGGUACGUGUUCAAUACAGUAUCCAAUUAGAAGAGUUAAAGUAUCUGAGCCCAGGUAAGCAUUUACAGUAUGAAAAUAACUGAAUCAACAUGGAUUCAGACAAGCUGGGAAGUUUUGAGAUCAUUCAUUCCUAUGAUUUGCUGAUGGCCAUUUCCUUGACUAACAAAGAUGUACAUAUAUGAGAGACCCUCAUGUCUAUAAAUAUACAGGAAGCAUAUAUUUAUUAACUCUAUUGUAGAAUCCAUUUUAAAAUGCGAAGCCAAGUCUUAACUUGCAGAGAUCUGUAAUAUUCCAGUUGAUUAAGUAUUUCUGGAGCCUAAGAUUAACCGCAGGAAGAGUAUCAUUUUAUUUAGAAGCAAUUUUUUUAUUUAGAGGACCCCUGCUAUUUGCUUAUUAAACUUGGUUAUUGGGCAAAGGUUCUUGGUAACAUUUUUGCCUCCAAUUUAUAGACUAAUUCCUGGCCCGUCAUAAAAAGGGAAUGUAUCUCUUAACAGUAUUUUUAAAUUUCUCUUGUUUGCACAUAAAAUAUACUACAUGUCACGCAAAGUUCCAGGUGGUUUGUACCUCCUGCCAGUGACAGUAGUAUUCUAGUUAUUCUGCCAGUCUUGGGAUUCUGGAAAGGAGAAAGAACUUCAGAAGUAUAUCUGAGACCAAUCCGGCCAGAAGUUCUACAGCAAUCCAGAGAUCAAUGAUACACGCUUGAAUCAAAGCACUGACCCAAAGGCAAUGAAGAAUUUUGCCCCAAACUGAUAUUGUGGUCAUUUUGCAGAGGUGCCAUAAUUGCUUCAGGCAACAAACAUGACGAAGGUCCUUCUGCAUGUUAAUUUCUAAGACUUCCUUUACGAAACUGAAUUAGUCAGCUAGUGAUCAUAUGGAGAAUGGGUAAUUAUUUACACAUUAGUAGCCUCACUUUCUAAGUUGAUGUAAAUGGCACACUGACAGUAGCUACCAUGAAAUUUUUAUUAUAGAAGAAAAAAUGUUUAUUAAGAGGAACGUGGAGUUCCCUGGUGGCGCAUUAGGUUGAUGACCUAGUAUUGUUGCUGCUGUGGCACAGGUUUAAUCCCUGGCCUGUGAACUUUUGUAUGUUGUGAGUGCAACUAGAAGAAGAAGCAUAUAUUCAUAUCCCAUUGGAAUUGGUGGGUCUUAAAUACUUUAUGCUGCCAUGUACAAACUUCUUCCUUUAAAAGAUUCAAAUUUAAUACUAGGAAGGCAUUCUCAAAUGUAAGCAGAUUUACUUAGUUCUUUCUACUGGCGACUCUCUUAAUACUCAAAAAGUAUUAUUACAUGAUACAGUUGAGAGUUCAGGAGUUCUUCAUCCCAGAAAAAAAUGUAAUGGCCCAGUUAAUCUUGAAUCUUAGGAAAAUAAAUCAAUUGACCUGGCAAUCAAUUUAUGAUAUAAUUUCAGUGACCUUAUGUACAAUGUUAAUUAAUAUUGCCUCAAAGAUUUGGGUUGGUGCACAGACCGAACAGCCUUGCAGUGAUUCACAGACUUGGUUGCAUGUUAGGAUGAUCUGGCAUGCUUUGUAACAUCCUCAUGCCCGGUUAAACCCCAUACCAGUUACAGCAGAAUGCUAGGAUAGGAGAGAGGCAUAGGUGUUUUUUAAAGACCCUAGGUAUAGCAGUGUUUGGGAACCACUCUUCUAGCCUCUUGAUAACUGAAAUGUGUUUUGGAGACCAUUUUUUUUUUUUAGAAUUGUAGAAUUCCUAUCUUCACUCCAGGCUUAUUGAAUCAGAAUCUGAUUUUUAACAAAAUCCUCAGGUUAUUUGCAUGCACUUUAAAGUUUGAGAAGCAUUGAUUUAGGGAAAGGAAAGAGGUGUUUUUUCCUAUCUCUCCCUCUCUCUCUGUCUCCCUCUCUCCCCAGUCAUAUGUCUUCUCUGUUCUUCCCUCUCCUGCCUAUGGCCAUACCUUUUCUUGUCUUGCUAGGUUCUCAGGCUGGCAUAUUGGAAACACCUGUGGAGCUUUUAAAGCAUAAGGAUGCUUAGGCCACACCUCUAGACAUUCGGGUUUAAUUGGUGGAAACUGGGCACAGGCAUUUUAAAAAAGUGAUCCAAAUGAAUAGUGAAAGUUAAACAUUGGUCUAGGACCUUGCUACUCAAGGUUUAUCCCAUAGACAAGCAGCAUUAGUAUCACUUGGAAACUUGUUAGAAACGCAGAUUCUCUGGUCCUACUCUAGACUUACUGAACCAGAUUGGCAUUUCAGCAAAUCUGCUUGUCAUUUGUAUGCAUAUUAAAAUUUAAGAAGCACCCGUUUAGACCUUAGAGGACUGGCUUUGUCUACAAAUGACACUCCUCUGGGCACCUCAGUAUAGAAAAUUUGUUAUCAUCUGAUUAAUCAGCACAGAAGCUCCUGGAUAUGUGAGUAUAUUAUAAGUUUUUUAAAUUGUUUUUGGAGAGAAUGGAAAUAAAAUGAGAAAAAUUUCUUGCUUCAUGGUUAUAGCAGAAAACAGACUCCCUUUUCAAUACCCUCUCUCUUCUUCCUCCAGCCAUUUAAUUUCAACCUCUUGAUGAUCUUUAAACACUUAUUCUAUAGGUUCAUUUUAAGCUCCUGAAAAUGUCCUGGUAUUAACCUAUGGUAUUGUGAUGUUAGACUGCUUAAAUUGAGGCAUAUCUUAGUGUUAAUAUGGUAUUACCCUCAUCCCACUGUCAUGUACCUUUGUUCAGUUCUUUUGAGAUUCAUUUGAUAUGUUUUUUGCCCCUUAAAGUCUUCCCUGACCUUUAAUUAAUAUUUACUGACAUAAUUUUACAUGACCUAAGUCCUUAUUUGUCCCUCAAUUACUGCAUUUCUCACAAAUCAGAAUUGUAAUUUUUGUGUUCUUUAUUUAAACAAACUUUUAUUGAGCAUUUGCUAUGUUCCCAAUGUGCUUAAUUCUGAGAAUGCAGAAGAAAACUAAGAUACAGUUUCUGCUCUUAAAGAUCUCACUCUCAAAUCUCCAUUAAUAGUUUAACUUUCCUGUGGGCAUAAUAUGAACCAGUAACAUUCCUGCAGGUACCCAGGUGCCUGCAUCAGAACACUUUCAUUUAUAUAGUAGGGACCUAGAUUAUAUAUGUUGAAUUGUAUAGCCUUCAUUAGUUUAUGAUACUAUGUUUAUUGUAAAUUGGGAGAGGUGAGAGAAUAUUGGCUACCAGAAACAUCAGUUAGAUUCCAGAGCAUAAAAGGUAAUAAAUAACUGGAACUGCUUUCUUUAUAGAGGACUUCACAUGUGUUCCCCAUGAAAAUUCAACUGUGUUCUGAGUUUCACACCAGCAUUAGAGUCAGGCCAGGAGCAUGAACCAACAUAUAUAAGGGAUAGAAUAAUAUUUCUUUGAAGGUAGAAUGGUUCAUCUUGCAGUCAAGAAAGGAAAUAUGUACAUAGUUUAUCAGAGCUAGGAAGUGAUAUUAAGAAAAAGAUACUUCGUAGUUGAAAACCAAACAUUUAAACCUUGGAGAUCAUUGCCAGAUAAGUAAAAUAUAAAGCAAUAAGAAACAACGGAAUAGGCAUUGGGCAUAGGAGAUCCCUGUUCUUAUCCCAGCUCUAAUGGUGUAACCUUGGACAAAGCACUUUUCCUGUCUAAAUCUUAAAGAUUCUUAAAUAUCAAAGGGAGUUCAUUUCAUUUAAUUCAAAAUAUUCAAGGAGCUGCCACACGGCUCUAGGCACAUUGUUAAAUGCAGGGGACGGAAAUGUAAACAGCGCAUUGUGUUGCCCUCCAGGAGCUUAGAGUCUGGGGCUACCUCAACAGGCUCAAGAGCUAUUGACUUCUAACAUUAUAUUUCUUCUCCAUUCAUCUUUCAGAGUUCUAGUGGGUUACCCAGGAGACUAGAAUAUAAAGUCUUAGAGUGAUUAAUGAUCUCGACAGAGACACUCAACAUUCCACAACACGAAUGCCAGUCCUUUGUCCCAUUUUUGAUGUCCUUAUGCAAAGUUGUUGUGUGGGAGAACAUAUGAACUCUUGCUAAGUAUCUACCUUAGAAGCUAUUCCAACUGACUAGCUACCUGGCUAGUAACCUAGUGUCUUAGUCAGGUGGUUAUUAUGAAGCUUGUUAGCAUCAGUGAUGAGUCUGGAGGUGGCCAGUUGUCUCUGACAUUUCCUUAUCUCUGACCCUACUAGGUGUCAUGUUUUGUGCCUACUGAAUGACCAAUAAUUAUGGUAUAUUGGAUUUGUUAAUCUUGAGUUUCCUAAUAUGUCACAUAUUAACAGUCAUAAGUAACACUUACUGGACACUAUUUUUUUCUAAAGGGCUUUUAAUGUCAUCUCUCUUAAAACCUUGUGACUAAACAUGUUAACUCGAUUUUGUAGCUAACAAAACAGAGGACCAGAAAGACUGACUUACCAGUCCAUUUUACCUUUAUUUCUCUGUAAAAUAAGAAUUCUUGUCCUGUCCUAAGGCCCAUACAUAAUAUUGUGACGAUGAAAUUAAACUCAUACCAAUAAAGCAUUUAGAGUUUAGAAUUAUAGUCUUUCAUUAUUAUUAGCUGUGUUUGUCUUUUCAUUAGGAGCUCAUCCUAGAGGGGAGAAAUGAAUCCUUUGCCAUUUUUAUAGUCUUAGCAGCAAGUGUACUGCAUAGACGCUCGACAGACCAUCUCCAUUGACUUCUGUGAAGGAUUUAAUUUACCAACAGGGAUUUCUUUUUUGUUGACUCUAUAUUUUUUGUGAGAAGUCCUUAAGUACAUGAAUUUGUCUCUCUGUUGCUUGGACUUAGUGUCAGGGCAGUUAUAUAACAUUUUGUGGGUUUGGAGAUGGAGAUAUAUUGGGUCCAGUAUUAUGCUAUGGUUGGGUUUAAAACAUAAACUGUGUAAAAUCCGGCCACUAACAGAAUUUACAGUUAGCACAUCUAAAUCCCUGGGCACCCCAUGGUACAUGAGACUUGGGAUUUUUAAGGAGCCUUUCAGGUGAUUAGGAUGUGCACUAUCAAUUAGGAAUCAAUAGAUAAGGUCCAGGGUGAUUAAUAUGAAACUGUAACAUGAACCCAUGUCCCAUGUCAGAAACACUGCAGGACUCCUGCUGCCUGGACCUUAACUCUUAUUAUCGCCCUCUUUAGUGUUAAGAGUAUACAUGUAUGAGAGAGAAAAUAAUUCUGUGCUACAGGCCUGGGUUAGAAAAUAGACAUGCUAAUAGAUAGCAUGUGUCAGGCUAAGAAGACACAUUACUUCCCCCAGUGUCUUCAUCCUCAUCAGGAUUCUUCCAUGCAGAGGAUGGAGGAUUUUGUUCCAGAAUCUAUGUCUAUAGUUCUAGUUUGCUAUUCUCUCCAGUUACUUUUUGAAACAGUCUUGGUCUCCUUGUCUUUAGGGAUGUGGGACUCCCACCCGGGGAGGCUGUGGUACUUUGCUGCUGUGAUGCAGCUGAUGGUUAGGUUGGCAGAAGUCCCAAAGGACACCUGUUGCCUCUCCACAGAUCUUUCUUUUUUUAAAGCGUGUACUCUGCCUGGCUUUUUACCUAAGACAAAUUCCACCACCAGUGAUUCACAGGGCACAGAUAAUUGAAAGUAGGCUUUAGACAUUGUAAAAAAUUUUUAAAAAUUAAAAAAGGAAAAGGAAGUGCUAUUCUGUGGUGAGGCUUUUGUUUCUGUAGAGUUUUUGUUUCUAUUUGUGGACUGGCCAUUAGCCUGAGAAGCAGCCCAAAGAGGCUAAACUGUAGGAAAAAAAUCAAGAAGCUUUCAGAGGCCAUUCAGAAGAUAACUAAGCACAUCAAAGAUUCCCCAAGCUAGCAAGCAGGAGAAAGCAGCAAUGCCAAUUUGCCAAUCUACCCCAAUAAUUCCUACAGUUAUCAUCCAUGUGAAAUAAUUGGGUUUUUCUCAAUUCCCAAAUACUGAUUCCAAACAUGUUGAACAAACCUCAUCACAAGAUAAAUUGGAAAUUCCUUUUUUAACCUUUGGAAAACCAAAAAUCUAGAUGUUUCUGACAAUUAAGGAAAAACGUUAAGGUGCUUUUGCCCUUAGUCUCAUUCUCCUACUAAAUUGGGUUUAGAUGCUCUACAAAUUGGAGAAUUUCACCAGAUUUAUUACACGAUCAUCCUAAUUGUCAAAAAUCUAGAAAGUUUGAAAUUAGAUUAUUUAAACAUUUUUUUCCCCAAAGGUACGUGUUUCAUUUCAAAAUAUUUUUAACAUUUCCAGCUCUACUUAAAAUUGAAUUUGGUUGACUUUUUUCUUUCUUCUGGGAUUUAAAAGAGAAAUAUUUGCUGUGUGUCAAGAGAAAGGUCAUCAUGUAGAUCAUGCUUUAUUUGCAAGCCUACACAUAAUUCAAAAUGAGAUGAUGAUGGACUUUGCAUCAGCGUUAAAAGCAAACUGGUAGUGCAAAUAUAGCAAAAUCCUCAAUAAUACUGAGAGGAGGGAGACAACCAAAGCAAUUUUAAAACAAGAUGAUUGUUGAUUUAUUUUAUUUAAUAAGCUAUAACGUAUUGAGUGCUUACAAUGUGUUAGAUUCUCUAAGGCUGAACUUUUUAAACUGGGCUCUACAUACUAGUGGGAUAAUGAGAUUAUGUACUAGGGUGAUUUGAUGAGGCAUAGAAAACAAGGUGCAUGUUCUGAUGAAGUAAAACUAAGAUUAGGUGCUAGAAAACCUGGGUUCAGAUUCUAGCCCCUCUAUUCAGUGGAGAAACUUGGGGAAUGUCUUUCUUCUCCUCUCUGGAGCUCAGU